rnacentral:rRNA from 1 species
UCGGUAGGUGAACCUGCCGUUGGAUCAGUU